rnacentral:rRNA from 1 species
CAUGCAAGUCGAACGCAACCUUCGGGUUGAGUGGCGGACGGGUGAGUAACGCGUGAGAAUCUGCCUUGGGGUCGGGGACAACCACUGGAAACGGUGGCUAAUACCGGAUAAGCCUUUGGGUAAAAAAUUUAUUGCCCCAAGAGGAGCUCGCGUCUGAUUAGCUAGUUGGUGAGGUAAGAGCUCACCAAGGCAGCGAUCAGUAGCUGGUCUGAGAGGACGAUCAGCCACACUGGGACUGAGACACGGCCCAGACUCCUACGGGAGGCAGCAGUGGGGAAUUUUCCGCAAUGGGCGAAAGCCUGACGGAGCAAGACCGCGUGAGGGAGGAAGGCUCUUGGGUUGUAAACCUCUUUUCUCAGGGAAGAAGCUCUGACGGUACCUGAGGAAUCAGCCUCGGCUAACUCCGUGCCAGCAGCCGCGGUAAUACGGAGGAGGCAAGCGUUAUCCGGAAUUAUUGGGCGUAAAGCGUCCGCAGGUGGCGAUUCAAGUCUGCUGUCAAAGCACGGGGCUUAACUCCGUUAAGGCAGUGGAAACUGAGUAGCUAGAGUGCCGUAGGGGUAGAGGGAAUUCCCGGUGUAGCGGUGAAAUGCGUAGAGAUCGGGAAGAACAUCGGUGGCGAAAGCGCUCUACUGGACGGCAACUGACACUCAGGGACGAAAGCUAGGGGAGCGAAUGGGAUUAGAUACCCCAGUAGUCCUAGCUGUAAACGAUGGAUACUAGGUGUAGCUUGUAUCGACCCGAGCUGUGCCCGAAGCUAACGCGUUAAGUAUCCCGCCUGGGGGAAGUACGCAACGCAAGUUGUGAAACUUCAAAGGAAUUGACGGGGCCACGCACAAGCGGUGGAGUAUGUGGUUUAAUUCGAUGCAACGCCGAAGAACCUUACCAGGGCAUGACAUGUCCGGAAUCCCGGUGAAAGCUGGGAGUGCCGUCGGGAGCCGGAACACAGGUGCAGCAUGGCUGUCGUCAGCUCGUGUCAUGAGAUGUUGGGUUACGUCCCGCAACGAGCGCAACCCUCGUCUUUAGUUGCCAGCAUUAAGUGGGGCACUCUAGAGAGACUGCCGGUGACAAACCGGAGGAAGGUGGGGAUGACGUCAAGUCAGCAUGCCCCUUACGCU